GACGAACGCUGGCGGCGUGCCUAAUACAUGCAAGUAGAACGCUGAAGCGAGGAGCUUACUCUUCUUGGAUGAGUUGCGAACGGGUGAGUAACGCGUAGGUAACCUGCCUUGUAGCGGGGGAUAACUAUUGGAAACGAUAGCUAAUACCGCAUAACAAUGGAUGACACAUGUCAUUUAUUUGAAAGGGGCAAUUGCUCCACUACAAGAUGGACCUGCGUUGUAUUAGCUAGUAGGUGAGGUAAUGGCUCACCUAGGCGACGAUACAUAGCCGACCUGAGAGGGUGAUCGGCCACACUGGGACUGAGACGCGGCCCAGACUCCUACGGGAGGCAGCAGUAGGGAAUCUUCGGCAAUGGGGGCAACCCUGACCGAGCAACGCCGCGUGAGUGAAGAAGGUUUUCGGAUCGUAAAGCUCUGUUGUAAGUCAAGAACGGGUGUGAGAGUGGAAAGUUCACACUGUGACGGUAGCUUACCAGAAAGGGACGGCUAACUACGUG
rnacentral:rRNA from 1 species